rnacentral:piRNA from 1 species
GAAGAUGUCUGAAAGUUCAGAGACCAUUUU